rnacentral:rRNA from 1 species
UACGUAGGGGGCAAGCGUUGUCCGGAAUCAUUGGGCGUAAAGAGCGUGUAGGCGGCCCGGUAAGUCCGCUGUGAAAGUCCAGGGCUCAACCCUGGGAUGCCGGUGGAUACUGUCGGGCUCGAGUCCGGAAGAGGAGUGUGGAAUUCCUGGUGUAGCGGUGAAAUGCGCAGAUAUCAGGAGGAACACCAAUUGCGAAGGCAGCUCGCUGGGACGUUACUGACGCUGGAGACGCGAAAGCGUGGGGAGCAAACAGG